rnacentral:rRNA from 1 species
GACGAACGCUGGCGGCGUGCUUAACACAUGCAAGUCGAACGGAAAGGCCCUGCCUUUGUGGGGUGCUCGAGUGGCGAACGGGUGAGUAACACGUGAGUAACCUGCCCUUGACUUAGGGAUAACUUCAGGAAACUGGGGCUAAUACCGCAUAGGAGCUCCUGCUGCAUGGUGGGGGUGGGUAAGUUUCGGCGGUUGGGGAUGGACUCGCGGCUUAUCAGCUUGUUGGUUGGGUAGUGGCUUACCAAGGCUUUGACGGGUAGCCGGGCUGAGAGGGGAACCGGCCCCGUUGGGACUGGAAUGCGGCCCAGACUCGUACGGGAGGCAGGGGUGGGGAGUAGUGCACAGUGGGCGGAAGGCUGAUGUAGCAACGCCGCGUCGGGGAUGACGGGAUUCGGGUUGUAAACCGCUUUCGCCUGUGACGAAGCGUGAGUGACGGUAAUGGGUAAAGAAGCACCGGCUAACUACGUG